rnacentral:rRNA from 1 species
AAUAGAUACCCACGGUAGUCCACGCCGUAAACGAUGAGUGCUAAGUGUUAGAGGGUUUCCGCCCUUUAGUGCUGCAGCUAACGCAUUAAGCACUCCGCCUGGGGAGUACGGCCGGCAAGGCUGAAACUCAAAGGAAUUGACGGGGGCCCGCACAAGCGGUGGAGCAUGUGGUUUAAUUCGAAGCAACGCGAAGAACCUUACCAGGUCUUGACAUCCUCUGCCAACCCUAGAGAUAGGGCGUUCCCCUUCGGGGGACAGAGUGACAGGUGGUGCAUGGUUGUCGUCAGCUCGUGUCGUGAGAUGUUGGGUUAAGUCCCGCAACGAGCGCAACCCUUGAUCUUAGUUGCCAGCAUUCAGUUGGGCACUCUAAGGUGACUGCCGGUGACAAACCGGAGGAAGGUGGGGAUGACGUCAAAUCAUCAUGCCCCUUAUGACCUGGGCUACACACGUGCUACAAUGGAUGGUACAAAGAGCUGCGAACCCGCGAGGGUAAGCGAAUCUCAUAAAGCCAUUCUCAGUUCGGAUUGUAGG